rnacentral:rRNA from 1 species
UAGGGAAUCUUCCACAAUGGACGCAAGUCUGAUGGAGCAACGCCGCGUGAGUGAAGAAGGUUUUCGGAUCGUAAAGCUCUGUUGUUGGUGAAGAAGGAUAGAGGUAGUAACUGGCCUUUAUUUGACGGUAAUCAACCAGAAAGUCACGGCUAACUACGUGCCAGCAGCCGCGGUAAUACGUAGGUGGCAAGCGUUGUCCGGAUUUAUUGGGCGUAAAGCGAGCGCAGGCGGAAGAAUAAGUCUGAUGUGAAAGCCCUCGGCUUAACCGAGGAACUGCAUCGGAAACUGUUUUUCUUGAGUGCAGAAGAGGAGAGUGGAAUUCCAUGUGUAGCGGUGGAAUGCGUAGAUAUAUGGAAGAAAGCCAGUGGCGAAGGCGACUCUCUGGUCUGCAACUGACGCUGAGGCUCGAAAGCAUGGGUAGCGAACAGG